GAUGAACGCUGGCGGCGUGCCUAAUACAUGCAAGUCGAGCGAACAGACGAGGAGCUUGCUCCUCUGACGUUAGCGGCGGACGGGUGAGUAACACGUGGAUAACCUACCUAUAAGACUGGGAUAACUUCGGGAAACCGGAGCUAAUACCGGAUAAUAUAUUGAACCGCAUGGUUCAAUAGUGAAAGACGGUUUUGCUGUCACUUAUAGAUGGAUCCGCGCCGCAUUAGCUAGUUGGUAAGGUAACGGCUUACCAAGGCAACGAUGCGUAGCCGACCUGAGAGGGUGAGAGGCAACACUGGAACUGAGACACGGUCCAGACUCCUAGGGGAGGAAGCAGUAGGGAAUGUUCCGAAAUGGGCGAAAGCCUGAAGGAGCAACGCAGCGUGAGUGAUGAAGGUCUUCGGAUCGUAAAACUCUGUUAUUAGGGAAGAAAAAAUGUGUAAGUAACUAUGCACGUCUUGACGGUACCUAAUCAGAAAGCCACGGCUAGCUACGUG
rnacentral:rRNA from 1 species